rnacentral:rRNA from 1 species
UACGGAGGGAGCUAGCGUUGUUCGGAAUUACUGGGCGUAAAGCGCACGUAGGCGGCUUUUUAAGUCAGGGGUGAAAUCCCGGAGCUCAACUCCGGAACUGCCCUUGAAACUGGGAAGCUAGAAUCUUGGAGAGGCGAGUGGAAUUCCGAGUGUAGAGGUGAAAUUCGAAGAUAUUCGGAAGAACACCAGUGGCGAAGGCGACUCGCUGGACAAGUAUUGACGCUGAGGUGCGAAAGCGUGGGGAGCAAACAGG